UGGAAUAUCUGCUCUUUACUGCACAUCGCUAUUUCUUGCUGGCACCAUCUGAUUAAAGGUGCAGCAUGAUGUAGUGGUGUGCAGUGGAGUAAAUAAACA